GAUCAUUACAGCGAAGCGGCGCGAGCCGCCUUUCGAACCACCGCGUACCGAACCCCCCACGUUGCCUCGGCGGGCGCCGGGCGCCCCGCGCCCGCCCCGCCGAACGGCCCCCCAGCAAGACCCCUUCCGUCGAGAUGGCGUCGUCUGAACCCUCCGGGGAAAACGUUUCUGAAACGAAAAACACAACUUUCAACAAUGGAUCUCUUGGCUCCGGCAUCGAUGAAGAACGCAGCGAAACGCGAUAGCUAGUGUGAAUUGCAGAUUUCAGUGAAUCAUCGAGUCUUUGAACGCACAUUGCGCCUCUUGGUAUUCCUCGAGGCAUGCCUGUUCGAGCGUCGUUACGCCCCUCAAGCGCGAGCUUGGUGUUGGGGACCGCCCCUGAGACACGGCGGCGGCCCCGGAAUGCAUCGGCGGUGCUGGUCCCAGCCCGGAGCGCAGCAGACAUGCGGCUCCGCGGGCGGGGCCGGCGCCCGCCGGACAAACGACGAGACCCCUCCACAAGUCGACCUCGAAUCAG
rnacentral:misc_RNA from 1 species